rnacentral:misc_RNA from 1 species
GAUGAAGAACGCAGCGAAAUGCGAUACGUAGUGUGAAUUGCAGAAUUCAGUGAAUCAUCGAAUCUUUGAACGCACAUUGCGCCCUUUGGUAUUCCAAAGGGCAUGUCUGUUCGAGCGUCAUUUGUACCCUCAAGCUUUGCUUGGUGUUGGGCGUCUUGUCUCCAGUCCGCUGGAGACUCGCCUUUAAGUCAUUGGCAGCCGGCCUACUGGUUUCGGAGCGCAGCACAAGUCGCACUCUUUUCCAGCCAAGGUCAGCGUCCAACAAGCCUUUUUUCAACUUUUGACCUCGGAUCAGGUAGGGAUACCCGCUGAACUUAAGCAUAUCAAUAAGCGGAGGA